rnacentral:rRNA from 1 species
UGGGGAAUCUUCCGCAAUGGACGAAAGUCUGACGGAGCAACGCCGCGUGUAUGAUGAAGGUCUUCGGAUUGUAAAGUACUGUCAUUGGGGAAGAACGGUUUUCUUGAAAAGAUUGAGAAGACAUGACGGUACCCAAGGAGGAAGCCCCGGCUAACUACGUGCCAGCAGCCGCGGUAAUACGUAGGGGGCAAGCGUUGUCCGGAAUUAUUGGGCGUAAAGGGCGCGUAGGCGGGCCUUUAAGUCCGGUGUGAAAGAUCAGGGCUCAACCCUGAGAGUGCAUCGGAAACUUGAGGCCUUGAGGACAGGAGAGGAAAGUGGAAUUCCACGUGUAGCGGUGAAAUGCGUAGAUAUGUGGAGGAACACCAGUGGCGAAGGCGACUUUCUGGACUGUAACUGACGCUGAGGCGCGAAAGCGUGGGGAGCAAACAGGAUUAGAUACCCUGGUAGUCCACGCCGUAAACGAUGAGUGCUAGGUGUAGAGGGUAUCGACCCCCUUCUGUGCCGCAGUUAACACAAUAAGCACUCCCGCCUGGGGAGUACGGCCGCAAGGUUGAAACUUAAAGGAAUUGACGGGGUCACAGCUGUUUUCCU